GUGGUUCUGCACAAGACUUGCAACAAACCCCCAUGUUCGUCACCAAGUCAGAAGGGAAAAUGGUGCUAAUAAACUGCCACAUCUCCGACCCUGAUCUUAGCAAUAUUUUCAUUCAUUGGUCCCAGAAGAAGGCCAGUGCAGCUCCCAAGCAUAUUGCAUACUUGUCCUCUUGGCUUUUCCUUAAAAAACAGUCUGAUGAGGGGUGGUUUACUAUUGAGAAGGACCCCAGCAAACCUGUCUGCACCCUGACAGUGAGCAAAGUAACUCUGCAGGACUCCACCACCUACUACUGUCCUAAGUGGGAUGCACUGCAGUAG